CAAAGUUCAUGGUGGCAGGUAGAGAUAGAGGAAAAGCUAGUGGUGUUAAUGCUGAGGUAGUGGUCAACACAAGUGUCAAACUAUGGUUGUUGUGAUUUCGUACACAGAAAAAACAAACAUUAUUCUAUCAAUUAUUUUGUCCUUUUGUAUUAAAAAGUGCUCAAUUUUAUUAAAAAUGAAAGUAAAAUUUUUAUGCUCGAAAACGAUAUAUUUAUUUAAAAAGUGACUUUUCACGAUUUAGUGUGUUCAUUUAAAAGUUGUUCUUUUCAAUACAAAAAUUGUACAACUGUCAAACCACUCAAAAAAAAAUAUUUGUUUUGCAAGUGACAGUAACUGUUCGGAAUUUCUGUUGUUGACUGCUCGGUUGUCUGUUGUUUGAUGCAAUCCGAUCAAAGAAGUGUGCCAUCAGCCAGGAUCAGUUGCAGCAAUUUGUUUGUUCUUUUCCGUGGCCAUCCGAGCUAGACUUUUUGUUACCUUUAUCUACAACGUGCUCGCUACCAUCGCAAUUAAGCCGACAGCAGAGGUAGCAGAUUCUUUACCCGAUCGACCAUUAUGAAUUAUUGGCAGUGGCUGAUUUUCUACCCGCCGCUACCACAUCCAGGCGCUAUCGUAUAUGCGCAAAUAGCCAGCAUGAGUUAGCCGCCAGAAAUUUGUAUGGCGAAAGACAUCUAACGCGGGUUUUCUCAAAAUUAGGAACUUUUCAUGAAAAGCUAUUUGGUAUCGGUUAUGAGGGAUGGUGUCUGCUACUACGCCUACCAAAUAUUUUUUCGAUUAAAGUGCUUUAUUUUGAGAAAUCGAACCUUAGAUGCCUUUCGCCAUACUGAUUUCAUAAAGUUAACUCCUAGUGUGCCGCUGUAAGCACGCUCAAAGCAGGCGAUUCAUUGGAUUGGAUAUGGCUUCCCGAGUGACUUUCCAAGUUGGCGUGCCUUGUGAUAAAAGGAUAUGGACUUUCACGCAUUCCUGUUACAUACAAUUUUCCAUCAAAAUUGAGGACGCAUCAGAAUUUCGCAUCGAUAAAGCAUGAAUAAUCUUCCACCUUCGCCAGCUGCUCGGCCAGCUGUGCAAAUUGGCGCAACUGUUAAAUAUGGCUUCAACUAAAUAAUGUUAUUUAUUAAUUAUUGAUAAAUUGUUAUUAAAUAUUUCCUGAAAACGAA